UAGGCUCGCAGUAUAAGUAUUUGUCAGAAAACUCGGGAGAAGUUUGUGUAAAUUACGAAAAAUAAAAAUCGAACUUUUGUGUGCCGGAAACAUAAGGACCUACUUCCGAUGCCGGUGGUUGGCAGCACCUCUUACCCAUUUUCAAUUUCAAUUCGAAUUCCAAAUUUGUCUCUGCCAUAAAAGUUGAUCCGAAGCCAAAACAAAGGAAGAAAGGAGCCUACGAAUCAGAUCCCAUUUAGAUCAAAAUCACAACAGCUCACAAAGCUUUUCUUUGUCACGAGAUAAAGCUAAAAUCUUGAAGUGUUUUGUCCAGAGAUGGAUUCUUCGUCGACAAUGCUUUUCAACCAGCUCAAGACUUCGAAACCAUUUUUCUUAAUGGCGGGACCCAAUGUCAUUGAAUCCGAGGAACAUGUUAUGCGUAUGGCCAACCACAUUAAGGCUAUCACUUCCAAACUUGGGCUGCAGCUGGUUUUCAAGUCAAGCUUUGACAAAGCCAAUCGGACGUCUUUCAAAUCAUUUCGGGGUCCUGGCCUUGUUGAAGGCUUGAAGAUCCUUGAGAAGGUAAAGGUAGCGUAUGACAUCCCGAUAGUGACAGAUGUGCAUGAAUCCAUCCAGUGUGAGGCAGUUGGUAGAGUUGCUGAUAUUAUUCAGAUCCCAGCCUUCUUAUGCCGACAGACAGAUCUCCUAGUUGCAGCUGCCGAGACUGGAAAAAUUGUCAACAUAAAGAAAGGCCAAUUCUGUGCUCCUUCUGUCAUGGCAAAUUCUGCUGAAAAGAUUAGAUUCGCUGGAAAUGAAAAUGUUAUGGUCUGUGAGAGAGGAACUAUGUUUGGCUAUAAUGAUUUGAUUGUCGAUCCACGCAACUUUGAGUGGAUGAGGGAGGCUAAUUGUCCUGUUGUGGCUGAUGUCACCCAUUCUUUGCAACAGCCUGCCAGGAGGAAGCUCAUCAAUUGGUUUGGACUUUGGAUUGAUGGAUGUUCCCAACUCUAUGUGGAGUGCUGGAUGAUGGUAAGCAAACUUGGAAUAUGAUGGGUUCUAUUUCGUGGUUAGGAUUCUUACUCUCCGUCAAAGGGACUUCUUUGUUUCCACUUCUAUCUAUUAGUAACAUGGCAGUAACGUGACAUCUGAUCCCUUAAUGAAAACUGAAAAGGUAAUGGCAUCUACAUCUAUGCUCUGUUUCUGUAUCCUUAAUUUUUUUGUAUAUCCACGCACUCAUGCAUACACAAACCCACCCUUGUCUGAGGCAAUUAGUACAAUGAGGUGUCCAGGUACCAAGGGACAUUGUGAGGAAAAAUUGGAUCUUGAUGAGCAAAACGGGACAUUGUGAGCUGCUGCUGACAAAAGAUUUCCUUUAAAAUUUGACAACAGUACUUUGACGCAACUUAUUCUGCCUAAUUGGUAUUACAUGUGCAAGUGGUGACUCGGCUGACCGCCUUCUUAUCAUUAUGAGGGGCUAGAUAGCCAUUGGUGACAAUUUACCUUAGUGUUCAAUGGGUGUUUCUAAGGUGAGGGGUUGACCUUUCACAGUAGGAAGGGAGGGCAGAAGGUUGGAAAGAAGAGGAGGCUGUCACUUUGGACGUGACUUAGUUUUUAUAGAUGGAGGUUGGAUUCCUGAAUAUAUUGUAGUGGAAUAUCAGGAACGCAAAUCUGACCUUUUGAGCAUAUUUUGGGUAUUUUAGUCUAUUGAUGCAUGCGGUAAACAAACUACUUUUGUGUACAGGCAGAGCCCCCUUUUCGUGCACUUUUGUUUUUCUUUGAAGUAAUCUCUUUCUUCUGGUGCUUAUUCUAAAAUAUGCAAAACGUUGUGCCCUAUAUAAUUGUUUUUACGUGGCUUUUGUCUUGCAAGUAGUGUCGAGUCUGUUGACAGUAGCUUAUGAUGUCUUGAGUUGUAGGCUCUUAAAAUAUCUCAGCGGUAGUUUUCUCUUCACUGUUAGCAUUUUAGCUCUUCUUUCUAAGAUUCUGAUCUGCUUUGUAGCAGUUACUAACUUUUUCUGGCAUCCAUACCUUCAAUGAGUUGGAGGUUACUAAAUCGAAGUUACUUGUGUAUCUCUCCUGGCGAUUUUGUUUUAAAAUGUAUAACCCUAGUUCUUUUUUUCCAAAUAGCUGGAGGGUGGUGGUGUCGCCAGUGGGGGUCUUCGUGAACUGAUACCAUGCAUCGCAAGGACAGCAGUUGCUGUUGGAGUUGAUGGAAUUUUCAUGGAGGUACAUGAUGAUCCUCUAAGGGCUCCAGUUGAUGGUCCAACCCAAUGG